ACGAAGGGGGCUAGCGUUGCUCGGAAUGACUGGGCGUAAAGGGCGCGUAGGCGGACUGCACAGUCAGGCGUGAAAUUCCUGGGCUUAACCUGGGGACUGCGUCUGAGACGUGUGAUCUAGAGUGAGGAAGAGGGUCGUGGAAUUUCCAGUGUAGAGGUGAAAUUCGUAGAUAUUGGAAAGAACACCGGUGGCGAAGGCGGCGACCUGGUCCUUUACUGACGCUGAGGCGCGAAAGCGUGGGGAGCAAACAGGAUUAGAUACCCUGGUAGUCCACGCUGUAAACGAUGUGUGCUUGAUGUUGGGGUGCUUAGCACUUCAGUGUCGGAGCUAACGCGGUAAGCACACCGCCUGGGGAGUACGGCCGCAAGGUUG
rnacentral:rRNA from 1 species